GUACACAUUACUUCUAGUUGCUGCAUGUAAGGUUCUUGUAAGCAGCAAGAGGUCCUAUCCAUGUGGCAUCGGCAAGGAUGAGCUGCCUGACAGUGAAUGUGUUGUUUGAAGAAAAAAAAGUGAAUAGCAAUGGCCAGGGUCAGCUGUCAUAACAUCUUACCUUCAUCCUGUGAGCCUUAUUGCCAACCCUACCUGAAACCAACUGAGAAGCCAAUCUAUAAAAUGCCAGCAUCCUCGUUCUGCAGCCUGUUCAAGUCUUGAUUGUGCCUUGGAGAUGACAAGAUGCCAGCCUGCGCUUCAUUUGCAUUCGUCUCUGAUGAAGUCUGGAGUUGCUGUGGUUGCAGCUUCUGGCUGAUGGGCAUCCUGGGGCCCACUGUGCUCCCUCAAGCAUUCUGCAUUGUAGACAUCAUCCUUUCAAGUCUUUGCUCACGAAGUUUGCGAUCCUCUGUUCUGGACACGGCUUCAGUGGAAGAGCCCGAAAACUUUGUAACAUACUGUGCUGAGACCACAUUAACACCAUUAUUCAGAACAAAAAGGCACUGGGAUACCAUCUUUUGCCUCUAGAUAAGACCCUAUAGAUGAAGACACCACAUACUUCAGACACAGGACCUGGAAGUAUCAAGAUAAUACUGACAGGAAGACUCCUCCCUGAGGACUAGCUCUCGUAUUGUUGGAAGUGCAAUACAGGCCACCAAAGGAGAAAAAUCAAUGAGUAGCUGUGUUCAUCUAUAAAUGACAUAAACCAUAACAUGAUUAGCUUGGCAAGACAUCCCCAAUGGUGCACUUUUAUCUUGGGGGUAACCAACAGCUGCUUAAUUGAACGUAUGGCCUACUUAAUAGGAAGGAGCUUCAUGCAUUGUACUAUAAAUUUAACCAACAACCAGUGGCUAGAGAUGUCAUGGACCAAAGAAGAGAAGCCACCAAUACUGCCAUUUUUCUAAGCCAAUAUAAUUUCUAAAUGUAGUCUAAGUAUUAUUCUUACAGCCAUAGGUAAGUGUGGCUUUCACCUUUCAUCAAAAAACCUUUUUUGGAACACAUAGAGGAUAUUACAGAAAUCCAAAACUUGUCAAGAAGAAGAGAUUAAAUGAUCACAGGGUGUCAGGAACAAUUGGUACAUCUACACUUCAGAAGAGAGAACAAAGAGAUCAUAGGACUUGGAGGACUACGAUUUCUGCUGGACAGUGUCUUCUACCUGUGACAGAAAUGCUGCAUGCAUGAAAUCUUGACAAUCUACCUGUCUGGAGAUAAUUAGCAUGGUGACAACACAAGAUGACAAACCAAUCUUAACAGAGAAAAUUUCCCAAGGUCCCACACUCAAAUGAAGAGCUAGAAGCAGUCAAUGGCAGCUGAAAGAUGGAGAAUCUGUCUGUUCCACAGGUUAUUUCCAUUGUCCUUGCUUGCUUCCCAAGCAUAGGUUAUCCAAUCUCAAGCAGUAUAAGUACAUAAAAGCAGCAACGAAUGGACUCAUUAGGUAAUGAGUAUGUAUGGUGUGUUUGUGUAUGUGUGUAACAUUAUUAAUUAUAGAGCAAGAGAUUUGAGAUUGAAAGGGUUUUGGAGGGACAUGAUAGGAGCUGGAAGAGGGAGGAGUGGAAAUGAAGUCAGUACAGUACCCAUAUAUGAAAUACUCAAAAAUAUUAGUAAAUGCAUAAAAACUUCAAGUGUUUAUGUUAACUGGCUACAUGAUGUUUUGGUAUAUGUGUGUGUGUGUGUGUGUGUGUGUGUAUGUGUGUGUGUAUAUGUAUGUAUUAUGUAACACUUAAAUUCUGUCAAACAAAUUGUGCCUCCAUGCUGUUUAUUGAUUGUUAUCAAUAGAUAUUUACAGUCGGGAUCUGACUCUCAAAAAAUAAAAAUUAAAAAAAAAAUAAAAAAAUCAAUAAGUAUUUAUUGAAUAAAUGUUCAGUGCUCCAAAUUUUCUAAGUAUGG